GAAUUCAGAAACAAAAUAGAAGUUGACGUACGAUGAUGGAUUCGUUAACCCAUCGACUUUCUCCGAGCAAAUGACCAAUACGCUAAAUAGAAGCAUAGAACCGCCACAAAAAUAGUAAUCGGAACGACUUGUUCAUGGCUUUCCCAAAUGUUUAUUGUAAAAUCCGAAAUCCCCAUUCUUCUCCUUGAUUUCACAAUGUCUGUGUUUUCUAUUGAGUAGCGGACAUAGAAUUCUGGAAUCAAAUACUCAGUAGCACUGUGUGAGAAACAAAAGGAAGCAGAGAUCUUCCAUGCUGUAGUGGCGAUUAAACAGUGGCACCUGGCACAUAAUAUCCGCCUUGAAGAUACGGGUCGAAUGGAGCCCAACUGUAGGACAACAUCGCCCUCACAGCAUCCGCUCUUACGAUUAACUGGGCCUGAUUCUAUGGGCUUACCUCCAACCCAAAUGGAUCUGAAAUAUAAUCACAGCAUAGCAACCCAAAAUUAUAUAAAUGUUCAUCUGCAGCAACUCAAGGAUCAUCUCAAUUUCUCGAAAUAAAUUGAAUUCGUGAAAUAGUUUCACUCAGAUUAUUUUGGUGAAGAGAACAAACAAUUACAGAUGGUAUCGUGCUUCCCAUCAACGCCAAAAAAGCUGGCGAUAACAGUUGCAUACUUCAUUGGUGGAGCCUCGUUGUUUGCAUUUGGUUUGCAUCUUUCACAUGUAAAUGCUGCUCCUCAACAAGCUCGGAUCAAAGCUCGGAACGACUUUGUUAGAGAGAGAUUGAGAAAGAAAUACGGGGACACAAGUGUGCAGCCUAAAUGAGCAUCACGGUAUACCAUGCACUAACAAGUCUCAAGAUUUACGGGGGUCUUAGUUUGACUCGUGUUAUCAUGUUUGGUUAAUCUUAGAAAGAUUACUUUUAAGUAACUUAAAAGUAAGUUAUCCAAAGAUAUCUGCUAAAAAAGAGUUUUUUUUUUUUUUUUUUUUUUUUUUUUUUUUUUUAAAGCUUAAUCAAACAUGCUUUAACAUGUAGAGAUUUUGAAAUUAUAUUAGCAGGGUGUACUUUUUUCUCCUGAUAUUUGCAUCAUGUUUAACUUGUUUAUAAAUAGUUUAAACUGGUAGAAAUGAGUCACAAGUGGGUAGUGCUCGUAAGUCCCUUGAAAUGUGCGGAUAAAAAGAGGCUUGAACGUUUUAUAAACAUAAGCCAAACAGAGGCUAAAUUUAAUUUAAUCUCAUAGCUUACUCCGACAGUGAUUUUCUCACGUGAUCCCUCAUUCAUGUCUCUUAACUUCUGAUUUCUUGCAUGUUGUGGUUGAUUUGUGGGGCGAAUUCAACUACUAACCUGAAUAUGUUACAAGUAGAACCUGCGCUUGUUGCAUUUUACUUCAGUUCAGUGAUGUGUUUCAAAGUUGAAUGCAAAGAGGCUGGGCAAUUUAAUGACCCUUCAAAUAUUCAAUUCUCAGUCCAUCUCCAAGACAGCUGGUCAUUCACUGAUUUAAAUGCAUUUGUCCCAAUAAUUCUUAGGAGUCGAAAUUAAUAUUAACAAUAGAUUUUUACUAUUUGGAACAGUCAUGUAAUUCUCAUUGUACAUUCGCGUAUGCUAAAUAUCUCCUCGUGUUCUUGUUAUUUAGUUGUUUUUGGCAGGAUGAAAUUAUGAGCGUCUAGACAGUUUAUAAGAGUGAGUUGGUGGUUUUUUUUACCGGCUAUAGGGACUACAUUGUGUUGGAGUGGGCUCGUUUUUAGGUAUAACGUAUCUUAUUUUAGUUUGUGAGGUCGAAGAAAGAAGAUUAGCUCAUGGAUUUCCUACUACCAUACAAGAUCCACGCCGUGAAAGUUGAUGAUGCAAAUGAGUGGAAUGCUAUUGGUUCGCAACGAAUAGUUGGAGCUCAUAAAUGACUCUCCUACGCUGAUCAGGACAGUCCCCUACCUUGACCUUCGUCUCUGAUAGUGUUACAGUUGAUAUUUCGGGAAGUUGGGAGCUCGAUUUGGAAAUAAUUUGUUUCCAAUGAAUGUAAACUCUAGUAGGAUCUUUCCUCACAACGGGACUCGUGCCAUCGCAAGUUCUUUGCCAUAAAUGAAGAACUUGCAAACAUAAUGAUUACACCAUGACAAUCUCGACUCUUUAAACCAUAAUUCAUUUGUGCUAUCUAUUAAAUUGUGCGAUUGUUAACAUGCAUUUUCUACCACAUUAUCCACUGCAAUUCGCUGAAGAUGAACUUCCAACAAAAUUUCUUAUAAUCAGCCAUAUUUUGACCAUUUUCACCAGGGAUGGGAAGUGACAUUAGGAUAACAGCAGCUGUAUUGUAAUGAGAAACGGAAGAAAAAUAUGUCAUUGGUAGAAAAUUCAUUACAUAACAGCUCAAAA